rnacentral:rRNA from 1 species
AUUGAACGCUGGCGGCAGGCCUAACACAUGCAAGUCGAGCGGAUGAAGGGAGCUUGCUCCUGGUUUCAGCGGCGGACGGGUGAGUAAUGCCUAGGAAUCUGCCUGGUAGUGGGGUAUAACGUCCGGAAACGGGCGCUAAUACCGCAUACGUCCUGAGGUAGAAAGUGGGGGUUCUUCGGACCUCCCGCUAUCUGAUGAGCCUAGGUCGGAUUAGCUAGUUGGUGGGGUAAAGGCCUACCAAGGCGACGAUCCGUAACUGGUCUGAGAGGAUGAUCAGUCACACUGGAACUGAGACACGGUCCAGACUCCUACGGGAGGCAGCAGUGGGGAAUAUUGGACAAUGGGCGAAAGCCUGAUCCAGCCAUGCCGCGUGUGUGAAGAAGGUCUUCGGAUUGUAAAGCACUUUAAGUUGGGAGGAAGGGCAGUAAGUUAAUACCUUGCUGUUUUGACGUUACCAACAGAAUAAGCACCGGCUAACUUCGUG